AUCGAACGCUGGCGGCAGGCCUAACACAUGCAAGUCGAGCGGAUGAAGGGAGCUUGCUCCUGGAUUCAGCGGCGGACGGGUGAGUAAUGCCUAGGAAUCUGCCUGGUAGUGGGGGAUAACGUCCGGAAACGGGCGCUAAUACCGCAUACGUCCUGAGGGAGAAAGUGGGGGAUCUUCGGACCUCACGCUAUCAGAUGAGCCUAGGUCGGAUUAGCUAGUUGGUGGGGUAAAGGCCUACCAAGGCGACGAUCCGUAACUGGUCUGAGAGGAUGAUCAGUCACACUGGAACUGAGACACGGUCCAGACUCCUACGGGAGGCAGCAGUAGGGAAUAUUGGACAAUGGGCGAAAGCCUGAUCCAGCCAUGCCGCGUGUGUGAAGAAGGUCUUCGGAUUGUAAAGCACUUUAAGUUGGGAGGAAGAGCAGUAAGUUAAUACCUUGCUGUUUUGACGUUACCAACAGAAUAAGCACCGGCUAACUUCGUG
rnacentral:rRNA from 1 species